rnacentral:rRNA from 1 species
GAUGAACGCUGGCGGCGUGCCUAAUACAUGCAAGUCGAGCGAAGCGGGGAUGGGUGAGUAACACGUGGAUAACCUCCUAUAAGACUGGGAUAACUUCGGGAAACCGUAGCUAAACCGGAUACUUAUCGAUGGUUCCGGUCUGAAUUAGCUAGUUGGUAAGGUAACGGCUUACCAAGGCUACGAUGCCUAGCCGACCUGAGAGGAGGAUCGGCCACACUGGAACUGAGACACGGUCCAGACUCCUACGGGAGGCAGCAGUAGGGAAUCUUCCGCAAUGGGCGAAAGCCUGACGGAGAAACGCCGCGUGAGUGAUGAAGGUCUUCGGAUCGUAAAGCUCUGUUAUUAGGGAAGCGGGAACUGAAGAGAAAGCCCCGGCUAACUACGUGCCAGCAGCCGCGGUAAUAG